AAAACGGCCCUUUUCAGGGCCCCACAAAAAUAAAAGAGUUUGUUA
rfam:Culex pipiens quinquefasciatus supercont3.106 genomic scaffold, whole genome shotgun sequence.